GACGAACGCUGGCGGCGUGCUUAACACAUGCAAGUCGAACGGAAAGGCCCUGCUUUUGUGGGGUGCUCGAGUGGCGAACGGGUGAGUAACACGUGAGUAACCUGCCCUUGACUUUGGGAUAACUUCAGGAAACUGGGGCUAAUACCGGAUAGGAGCUCCUGCUGCAUGGUGGGGGUUGGAAAGUUUCGGCGGCUGGGGAUGGACUCGCGGCUUAUCAGCUUGUUGGUGGGGUAGUGGCUUACCAAGGCUUUGACGGGUAGCCGGCCUGAGAGGGUGACCGGCCACAUUGGGACUGGGAUAUGGCCCAGACUCCUACGGGAGGCAGCAGUGGGGAAUAUUGCACAAUGGGCGGAAGUCUGAUGCAGCAACGCCGCGUGCGGGAUGACGGCCUUCGGGUUGUAAACCGCUUUCGCCUGUGACGAAGCGUGAGUGACGGUAAUGGGUAAAGAAGCACCGGCUAACUACGUGCCAGCAGCCGCGGUGAUACGUAGGGUGCGAGCGUUGUCCGGAUUUAUUGGGCGUAAAGGGCUCGUAGGUGGUUGAUCGCGUCGGAAGUGUAAUCUUGGGGCUUAACCCUGAGCGUGCUUUCGAUACGGGUUGACUUGAGGAAGGUAGGGGAGAAUGGAAUUCCUGGUGGAGCGGUGGAAUGCGCAGAUAUCAGGAGGAACACCAGUGGCGAAGGCGGUUCUCUGGGCCUUUCCUGACGCUGAGGAGCGAAAGCGUGGGGAGCGAACAGGCUUAGAUACCCUGGUAGUCCACGCUGUAAACGGUGGGUACUAGGUGUGGGGUCCAUUCCACGGGUUCCGUGCCGUAGCUAACGCUUUAAGUACCCCGCCUGGGGAGUACGGCCGCAAGGCUAAAACUCAAAGGAAUUGACGGGGCCCCGCACAAGCGGCGGAGCAUGCGGAUUAAUUCGAUGCAACGCGUAGAACCUUACCUGGGUUUGACAUGGAUCGGGAGUGCUCAGAGAUGGGUGUGCCUCUUUUGGGGUCGGUUCACAGGUGGUGCAUGCCUGUCGUCAGCUCGUGUCGUGAGAUGUUGGGUUAAGUCCCGCAACGAGCGCAACCCUUGUUCACUGUUGCCAGCACGUUAUGGUGGGGACUCAGUGGAGACCGCCGGGGUCAACUCGGAGGAAGGUGGGGAUGACGUCAAGUCCUCAUGCCCCUUAUGUCCAGGGCUUCACGCAUGCUACAAUGGCUGGUACAGAGAGUGGCGAGCCUGUGAGGGUGAGCGAAUCUCGGAAAGCCGGUCUCAGUUCGGAUUGGGGUCUGCAACUCGACCUCAUGAAGUCGGAGUCGCUAGUAAUCGCAGAUCAGCAACGCUGCGGUGAAUACGUUCCCGGGGCU
rnacentral:rRNA from 1 species